CGGCAGCAGUAGUAUUUCUUAUCGAGUGCAAUGAAGGCUGCUCUGUUCUUUGUUGCUGCAUUGGUCGCAGUUGCGGCGGUAUACGGACGACCAGAAGAGUCGACCACUGCCGCCAUCCAGGGUGAGGAACAGCCGUCCGCCACCAUCCCGUCUGUGAGAACAUUGGUGGCGGCGUCGUACGCGGAAGAAGACGACGAUACCAUUUGUGUCCAGGCAGACAACAAGUUCUACUAGUAUGCCAAUUCACUGAAGCUGUAUUCUUGCUACAACCUACUACCGAAGGUUUACGUGGUGAAACCAAAGAGUCUUUGUAAACCAGUCCUGUCCGACUGUCCCAAGAACUAGGAGUAUUGCAAGUGUGUCGGCUCAUCCUGGAGGAGCUGACUCAUCUAGGAUUGAGUGAAGACGAGAUGGCUGAGCUGUUGACUGAAGACAUCAACAAUUUUCACAGAAAGUAGUAAAUUCCAAGAGUGUAGAA